UGCAAUCUCCUUAAGCUGAGAGGCAGUGAAGUUUGCCAUGCUUCCAAAGCAAAUAUAAACAACUGAAUUUGGUUUCUUUGAGUCGAGUCACUUCAACUGAAUUUGCCAUGUUGAGCAAUUGAGGCUUCUUUUCCUCUUCCUGCUUUAUCUUCAUUGUCUCUAUUGCAUAGUGAAACCAGGCCCACGUUAAUUCACACCCUCUUUAAUUGACCCAACAAGACAAUGUCCUAACCAUACAGGUUCCUCUUUUACAGAUUCAUGGAUCACUUUAUGCAAAGCAGAGGAAUGAUUUUCUGGAAAAAGAGUGUCUUGGAAACUUACAGUAGAUUUCGUUGGAACUCUUCUCUCAGGACGUAGCAUAGCUUCUUGAAUCUCUGUUUCUAAUCGGAACAGGGUAGCAACGAGAAGCUUGGAGGGGUCGCAGAAUGUCUUUCUUUUGUUCAUGAGGCUGCCUGUCGAAACGCUGAAGAUUUGCAAACAACUUGUAGGAAUCAAAUCAAAGCCCCUUUUAAAAAUUUAAUGACCAGAAGGAUGAAAAUCAAAAAAAUCUGCCUUGUGUUUUAAAAAACACCUCCCUCUGUUUCCUCAACAUGUCAGGUCAUAUUUUUGGUUGCAAAUCUUGUAUCCCUAGCGAUCUCUCUUCUUUUUU
rnacentral:lncRNA from 1 species